UACGUAGGGGGCAAGCGUUGUCCGGAAUCAUUGGGCGUAAAGAGCGUGUAGGCGGUUCGGUAAGUCGGCUGUGAAAGUCCAGGGCUCAACCCUGGGAUGCCGGUCGAUACUGCCGGACUAGAGUUCGGAAGAGGCGAGUGGAAUUCCCGGUGUAGUGGUGAAAUGCGUAGAUAUCGGGAGGAACACCAGUGGCGAAGGCGACUACCUGGCCUGUUUCUUGACGCUGAGGCGCGAAAGCUAGGGGAGCAAACGGG
rnacentral:rRNA from 1 species